AGUCUAAACUUCACUCCACCCAAUGCGCGCAAGGCUGACCACGGCUCCUCCUGCGCUUAACCCUUUAGUGACACAGCAUCUUUGGGAACAAGAAACAGGAUGUGUGUGGAAAGUUGAUAAAAUGUAUAGAAAAAACGUAAAAUGAACAGAGAUAAACUAGAACUGGACUGUGGAAGCUAAAGCGAGCAGCGAGCAACACAAUGGCUAUUCAUGAGAUUGUCACAAGGGAGGCAGGACGACAGCGCCAUCUACAGUCCCACUUCCUCAGGACAGUAUCCCAGGAUUGAGGACACAUUAUAUUUCCCAUCACUCCUGAGAUCCAUCGCUCACAUCAAUGACAAUGAGAAGGCUCAAACUGCAGUGGAGCUCCAGUCGCCUUACUAACCUGUGGGAACACUGCACCUGUUUCUAACAUUAACCAACAAAACCAUGUACCAGUAAAUGAACUGGACUGUGGUAGCUAAAGCGAGUAGCGAGCAACACAAUGGCUAUUCAUGAGGUUAGAAAGCUCUGUCUGUUUCUAUUAUGCUAAUGUAAAGAAAGUGUUUACUCUUCAAAUUCUUUAAAUAAGCCGAUUAUAUCAUGCAUCAAGAGUUAUAUUAUAAAUGUUUUGACUUCAUUAAGUAUAGAAGAGCGAAAAUACACUUAUACAUUAAAAUACAUUAACAAUUAAAGGUACAGUAUGUAACUUUCUGGGGGUGGUAUGGGACCUGUAUGAUUCCGUGGGAGCAGAAAGUUAAAACUAUACUUAUGAACAUUCAAGGAGAUCAAUUAGUUUUAUGCUUUACUAUGGGGAAUAUUAUAGCCAUGUGAACAUUUAAAUGGAAAACAAGUACGAGGAGGCCCAGCUCCAGGCCAAACCAAGGUCAGGUUUGUGGAAAUAGAAGCCCACUCGCAGACAAGAAGACGCAUGUUUUUUAGUGCAACAAAA